UGAAAGGAGAGCAGAAGCUUCUCUUCCCCUCUCCCCCAAAACAAAGCAUCAAAAAUCUAAAAAGGAAUCGGUUUCAAAAGAGCCAUCAUCAUUCUCGUGCCCGUCUCCGCGCAUUCCUGCGCCGCCGGAAUCCUUGUUCUUCGGCGAGCGGCGAGGCUAGGGGAUUGGAUUUCCCUCGAGGGAUCGGCUCGGCUUGGCCCCGCGUAGAGGAAGGCGAUGAUGUCGGGGUCCGUCGAUCGGCACUGUGCAUGUUUUGAAGGCGUUGUGCAUGAUGAAGAAAAGAAAGAGUGGAAAUCUGAGGAGGACAACUCAGAAGGAGACAAAAAGGCCAAGGCAGGCUCCUUCAAGAAGCGAGCUAUCAGCGCUGGAAAUAGAUUUAGGCGUUCCUUGAGAAGGAAGAGAAAAAAGAGGAUCGGCGACCAUGUAGCCUCCAUAGAGGACAUAAGGGAUGUUAAAGAGUUGGAAGCUGUCGAAAGGUUUCACCAGCGCUUACACGACGAGGGCUUGCUGCCAGAACGUCAUGAUGAUUAUCACGUGAUGUUGAGAUUCCUGAAAGCGCGGAAAUUUGAUAUUGAUAAAGCAAAACAUAUGUGGUCGGAAAUGCUUAGAUGGAGGAGGGAAUUUGGGGCCGAUAAUAUAGAGGAAUUUGUCUACAGCGAGUUAGAUGAUGUUCUGAAGUACUAUCCGCAAUUUUAUCAUGGUGUGGAUAAAGAGGGAAGACCUGUCUACAUAGAACUAAUUGGUAAAGUCGAUCCCACCAAAUUAGUACAAGUUACAACUAUUGAUAGAUAUGUAAAAUAUCAUGUCAAGGAGUCCGAGAAGUGCUUGCAGAUGAGAUUUCCAGCUUGCUCCAUUGCUGCAAAAAGGCACAUAGAUUCGUGCACUACUAUCUUGGAUGUGCAAGGAGUGGGUUUAAAGAACUUCUCAAAAGAUGCAAGAGAGCUAAUAAUGCAACUGCAGAAGAUCAACAAUGACAACUAUCCAGAGACCUUGCACAGAUUGUACGUUAUAAAUGCUGGUCAAGGCUUCAAGAUUUUAUGGGGUACAAUAAAAUCGUUUCUUGAUCCAGAAACCGCUUCCAAGAUUCAUGUCCUUGGAAACAAGUACCAAAAUAAGCUACUUGAAGCUAUUGAUGAGAGUGAACUUCCAGAUUUUCUUGGUGGCAAAUGCAGGUGUGAAGAACAUGGAGGUUGCAUAAAAUCAGAUAAAGGUCCUUGGAAGGAUCCUGGCAUAAUAAAGAGGGUACUUAAUGGUGAAGCAAACUAUGGACGGCAAAUUCUUGCUAUAUCAAGUGUUGACGGGAAGAAAAUCUGUUAUAUUAACCCUCGACACUUAACUAAAAAAUGCAGUGAUGCCUCUGCCGAGUCUAGUUCUGAAAUGGAAGAUGUUUCGUCUCCUACUGCUUCGGUUAACCCCAUCGUAAACCCUCAUUUGACCCCUGUCCACGAGUCCAAAUUGCCAGGACAUGCUUCCACAUCUGGCGCUCCUACUAGAGUAGAGGACGUCCCAGUUAUUGACAAGGUUGUGGAUACCUGCAUCGGUCGAAUAACCAGCUCAAUGACUUUCAACUCAGAUUCAUUUUCUUUAAGAAAUGUACCUAUGGAAUUGGGUGGACUUCGAAAUCGAAUUACUAUGUGGCUGACAGUCUUAAUCGUGAGCCUUGUUGCGGUGCUUCGUUCUGCCCCAAGCAGAGUAACUUCAAGGCUAUCAAGCCAGGCCAUUGCCUGUGAAAACGAUACACAUUCAUCUGUAUUAAGGCGCCUUGGUGAAUUGGAGGAGAAAUUACAAGAGAUUGAAGCAAAGCAAUCUCAAAUGCCAUCAGAUAGAGAGGAAUUACUGAAUGGAGCCAUUCACCGUGUUGAUGCAUUGGAAGCCGAGCUAAUAUCUACAAAGAAGAUGCUUUAUGAUGCAUUGAUGAGGCAGGAUGAACUGAUUGCAUAUAUUGACCAACAAAAGAAGAUCAAAUUUCGGAAAAAGAGGUUCUGCUUCUAAGUACCAGAGUGGCAUGGUUGCUAUUCUCCUCAAAGCUUUCGUGUUGUUCUGUCACUGAAUACUUGAACAUCACGAUCGUCACCAGCAAGUGGACUUGAGCACCAAAUGGGUUCCGUUGAGGAAUGCUGCUACAUGUACGACCAAGUUUAUAUGCAUACGAGUAACAUGUGGAUAGUGGAAGGAUAUUAGGCAGCCAUAUCUUUCGGUGGAAGCAUGAAAAUAAGAGUAUACAAUGGUUACUGUUUAGUCUUACACAUACCAUGCCUAAAUUUACAAACCAGACACCCGAAGUGGGGGUAAAAGAUUGGACGCUCUCCAUCCCACACAUUUCACCACCACGCUGCCUCGUGUCUUAUCAUCUUCCCUAAACUAUCACACGUGAUAGAAAACCAUGCACACGACCUGAAGGAGCUACAGAGCCAACCAUGGAGGGGGCUAGCCAUAGCCCACUGCUGAAUCAGAGGAGGCCCAGGGAGCUGCAAACAGGCAUUAUAGGACGUUUAAGUUCACCUUCUUCGAUGCUGAGAUCGACAUCACGUAAAGCUCACAUCCAUGGGAUACAAUAGUCGUGCUUAGAUUGGGAGACAAUUGAUGUCAAGCUCGCAUCCAUGGGAUACAAUGGUCGCGCUUAGAUUGUGAGACAAAUAUGGUGCGUUGCAAUGGGUCUUUUUAAGUGGCCCACCCGUGUGCAUGAUGUUAUGUGGAUGUUUAAAUAUGCAUUUUCUUAUGUUUCAAUAGGCCACUUAAGAACAUUGCAAUGAUGAUUUUUUUUAUGUUUCAAUAGUUAUAACUUUGUUUCAUAUGUGAUAAGAAAAAUAUUAUAACUAGGAAA